rnacentral:rRNA from 1 species
UACGUAGGGUGCGAGCGUUAAUCGGAAUUACUGGGCGUAAAGCGUGUGCAGGCGGUUUGUUAAGACAGGUGUGAAAUCCCCGGGCUUAACCUGGGAACUGCGUUUCUAACUGGCAGGCUUGAGUGUGGCAGAGGGGGGUGGAAUUCCACGUGUAGCAGUGAAAUGCGUAGAGAUGUGGAGGAACACCGAUGGCGAAGGCAGCCCCCUGGGCUAACACUGACGCUCAUGCACGAAAGCGUGGGGAGCAAACAGG